AAACUUAAGGAAUUGACGGGGCCCCGCACAAGCAGCGGAGCGUGUGGUUUAAUUCGAUGCUACACGAAGAACCUUACCAGGGUUUGACAUGCUAGUGGUAGGAAACCGAAAGGUGACCGACCCUUCGGGGAGCGUUCACAGGUGCUGCAUGGCUGUCGUCAGCUCGUGCCGUGAGGUGUUCGGUUAAGUCCGGUAACGAGCGCAACCCUUGCUGUUAGUUACAAGUGUCUAACGGGACUGCCGGUUUAAUACCGGAGGAAGGUGGGGAUGACGUCAAGUCAGCAUGGCCUCUAUGUCCAGGGCUACACACACGCUACAAUGGCCGGUACAGUGGGUUGCCAAACCGCGAGGUGGAGCUAAUCCUCAAAGCCGGUCUCAGUUCGGAUUGUAGGCUGCAACUCGCCUGCAUGAAGUCGGAGUUGCUAGUAACCGCGCGUCAGCUAUAGCCGCGGUCGAAUACGUUCCGGCCUU
rnacentral:rRNA from 1 species